UACGUAGGGGGCAAGCGUUAUCCGGAUUUAUUGGGCGUAAAGAGCUCGUAGGCGGCCGUUCGCGUCGGAUGUGAAAGCUCAGGGCUCAACCCUGAGACGCCAUUCGAUACGGGGCGGCUAGAGGUAGGUAGGGGAAAGUGGAAUUCCUGGUGUAGCGGUGAAAUGCGCAGAUAUCAGGAGGAACACCGGUGGCGAAGGCGGCUUUCUGGGCCUUACCUGACGCUGAGGAGCGAAAGCUGGGGGAGCGAACAGG
rnacentral:rRNA from 1 species